GGGGGCAUAGCUCAGUUGGUAGAGCACCUGCUUUGCAAGCAGGGGGUCCAGGGUUCGAGUCCCUGUGUCUCCACCA
rnacentral:tRNA from 1 species